GUGGGGAAUAUUGGGCAAUGGGCGCAAGCCUGACCCAGCAACGCCGCGUGAGUGAAGAAGGCUUUCGGGUUGUAAACCUCUGUCCUUGGUGACGAAACAAAUGACGGUAGCCAAGGAGGAAGCCCCGGCUAACUACGUGCCAGCAGCCGCGGUAAUACGUAGGGGGCAAGCGUUGUCCGGAAUGACUGGGCGUAAAGGGCGUGUAGGCGGCCGAUUAAGUCUGGAGUGAAAGUCCUGCUUUCAAGGUGGGAAUUGCUUUGGAGACUGGUUGGCUUGAGUGCGGAAGAGGCAAGUGGAAUUCCCAGUGUAGCGGUGAAAUGCGUAGAGAUUGGGAGGAACACCAGUGGCGAAGGCGACUUGCUGGGCCGUAACUGACGCUGAGGCGCGAAAGCGUGGGGAGCGAACAGGAUUAGAUACCCUAGUAGUCC
rnacentral:rRNA from 1 species